rnacentral:rRNA from 1 species
GACGAACGCUGGCGGCGUGCUUAACACAUGCAAGUCGAACGGUAAGGCCCUUCGGGGUACACGAGUGGCGAACGGGUGAGUAACACGUGGGUGAUCUGCCCUGCACUUCGGGAUAAGCCUGGGAAACUGGGUCUAAUACCGGAUAGGACCACUGCCUGCAUGGGUGGUGGUGGAAAGCUUUUGCGGUGUGGGAUGGGCCCGCGGCCUAUCAGCUUGUUGGUGGGGUGAUGGCCUACCAAGGCGACGACGGGUAGCCGGCCUGAGAGGGUGGCCGGCCACAGUGGGACUGGGAUACGGCACAGACUCGUACGGGAGGCAGGAGUGGGGAAUAUUGCACAAUGGGCGCAAGCCUGAUGCAGCGAGGCCGCGUGAGGGAUGACGGCCUUCGGGUUGUAAACCUCUUUCAGCACCGACGAAGCGCAAGUGACGGUAGGUGCAGAAGAAGGACCGGCCAACUACGUGCCAGCCGCCGCCGUAA